CCCUAUUUUUUUUUUUUUUUUUUUUUUUUACAUAAAGUCAGUUUGGGUUUGUUUUUUUUUGCGUAAGAAAAUUUUUCCUCAAAAUAGGUAAAUUUUUUGAAUGACGUCAUUGUUUGGUAUGUGACGUCACGAACGUCGAGUUUUCAUAUUGUAUGUGACGUCACGAACGUCAAGUUUUCAUAUUUUUUGGCACACUAAAUGCAACUAUGAAAAAUACAAAACACGCAAAUUAAUACAAUAAUAAACAAAAUAUUUUUAAAACAACAGCACGCAAAUUGUAAGGUAACCCAGGUGCUUCGGAUAAGUAAUUGAGCAGUUCUUUUAAGGCCUUUGAAACAAGACAAAAGUAGAACUGAAAGGUAACCAGUGCUAUGGAUCAGAAAACAGUUCAUAUAAUAAAUACUCUUCUGUUGAAAUAUAUGAUAAAGUGUAUAAUACAUGGCAA
rnacentral:lncRNA from 1 species